GCUCCUCCCACCAGCCUCCACUGCUGUGUAGUCAUCCAUUAGGUGUGUACUCUGCUAUCAGUCUAUAGCUCCUCCCACCAGCCUCCACUGCUGUGUAGUAAUCCAUUAGGUGUGUACUCUGCUAUCAGUCUAUAGCUCCUCCCACCAGCCUCCACUGCUGUGUAGUAAUCCAUUAGGUGUGUACUCUGCUAUCAGUCUAUAGCUCCUCCCACCAGCCUCCACUGCUGUGUAGUAAUCCAUUAGGUGUGUACUCUGCUAUCAGUCUAUAGCUCCUCCCACCAGCCUCCACUGCUGUGUAGUAAUCCAUUAGGCGUGUACUCUGCUAUCAGUCUAUAGCUCCUCCCACCAGCCUCCACUGCUGUGUAGUAAUCCAUUAGGUGUGUACUCUGCUAUCAGUCUAUAGCUCCUCCCACCAGCCUCCACUGCUGUGUAGUAAUCCAUUAGGUGUGUACUCUGCUAUCAGUCUAUAGCUCCUCCCACCAGCCUCCACUGCUGUGUAGUAAUCCAUUAGGUGUGUACUCUGCUAUCAGUCUAUAGCUCCUCCCACCAGCCUCCACUGCUGUGUAGUAAUCCAUUAGGUGUGUACUCUGCUAUCAGUCUAUAGCUCCUCCCACCAGCCUCCACUGCUGUGUAGUAAUCCAUUAGGUGUGUACUCUGCUAUCAGUCUAUAGCUCCUC